rnacentral:rRNA from 1 species
UACGGAGGGGGCUAGCGUUGCUCGGAAUCACUGGGCGUAAAGCGCACGUAGGCGGUCCAGCAAGUCGGGUGUGAAAGCCCUCGGCUCAACCGAGGAAGUGCAUUCGAAACUACGGGACUUGAAUACUGAAGAGGAUCGCGGAAUUCCCGGUGUAGAGGUGAAAUUCGUAGAUAUCGGGAGGAACACCAGUGGCGAAGGCGGCGAUCUGGGCAGAUAUUGACGCUGAUGUGCGAAAGCGUGGGGAGCAAACAGG